AUUGAACGCUGGCGGCAGGCCUAACACAUGCAAGUCGAGCGAGCGGCGGACGGGUGAGUAAUGUCUGGGAAACUGCCUGAUGGAGGGGGAUAACUACUUGCAACGGUAGCUAAUACCUAAUACUCUCAGAUGUGUCCAGAUGGGAUUAGCUAGUAGGUGGGGUAACGGCUCACCUCGGCGACGAUCCCUAGCUGGUCUGAGAGGAUGACCGACCACACUGGAACGGAGACACGGUCCAGACUCCUACGGGAGGCAGCAGUGGGGAAUAUUGCACAAUGGGCGCAAGCCUGAUGCAGCCAUGCCGGGUGUGUGAAGAAGGCCUUCGGGUUGUAAAGCACUGUCAGCGGGGAGGCGUUACCCGCAGAAGAAGCACCGGCUAACUCCGUGCCAGCAGCCGCGGUAAUU
rnacentral:rRNA from 1 species